rnacentral:lncRNA from 1 species
UUGGGGAUUCUAAAUUUUAGAAGCUCAAUGAGAAACAAUUAUCUAGUAACCAGGAAUGGAUUGGAAGCAAAUUUUGAAGGUUCACGGUCACAAGGCCAACUGUCACUAUCUUGUCAAUGGCAACAUGGCAUUCAGUUCAAUUUGCUUCAGUGUUCAACCUAUAAAAUAUCCUACCCUACACUCCCCAUGCCCGCCUACGCCUUCCG